rnacentral:lncRNA from 1 species
ACUGAGACUGCGGGAUGGGGUGUGUUAGUAGGGGUAGGGGAGAAAUGUGGGAGGGAUUGGGGCAACUUUUUCCCCUCAGAACUCUGCCUGAGGCCAGCCCUGCUCAGAGAACACAGGGCCUCAGAGCCCCAGAGCAAAGGGACUGCCCCCAGGGCAACCGGGGCGAGCAAGACAGCUGGGCUGGUGCCUCCUGAGCAGCUGGCAGGCCCAUGGAGCCCUCUGAUAGUCCCCAAGAGCUGCCUGGAAGGUGAAAGAGAAAUCUGUCCUCUUCCAAGUUGGAAAGUCCCCUGUUCUAGGGGAGAGAGUCUUUGCUCAACUCAGAGCUCAGGGGAGAAUCUGUGGGGAAGAGACCGAAGGAGCCGUCCUCAGGGGAGCUCCCCUCAUGAGGGACUCUCAGGGGGACCUCAAGGAAAUUCUGCUCAGGGGGAUCUCCUCAGUGGGCAGGGAUUUCAAGGGGAGCACUUCUUGUGUGGGAAGGGUAGUCCUUACUGGGAGCACUCCUCAGAGGAGAAGUCCUCAGGGGAACCAGUUCACUGGGGGCGCUCUCCUCGGGGGAAGCUCUCCUCAGGGGGAAAUUUCCCCUCUACCUGUUCCCUCAGUGUGGGUUCUGGAGGUCUCUCAGAGCCAGAUCUGUUCCUGCUUGCCAACAGCACAGGAUCAGAUACCAUCAUUUACACUCUCACAGAGAAUUCAGUCGCACACAUUCACAACAAUGCUUCCCCUCACAGGCCACGUGCAAUUUAUGGAGAAAUCUGUGUCCUCCAGGAAUUUCAGCAAGUGUGUAAGGAACAUGGCAAGGACUGUCUGAGAGCCCUUCUCCUUGUACCUCAAGCCGUACUAUGCUUGUGGCUGGUCCUGGAGUGUAACAUCAUAUUAUAUGCUGUCAGCACUGAUGCCAGGGUGAAGCAAGCUCACAGAAACAGGUUGGGUAGGAAGAUGUUGAAAAGUCAGAAAUCUUUUUUGAAUAAUAAAAAGCAAGUACAACGUAAGAACUUGUUUUUAGUGGAAAAUAACUCUUCACGUGCCUUCUAUAAGCUCUCCUCUGUACCAUUCAAGGUACUGGCAGGAAGCAGAAUUCCACUCAGAUGGCCCAACUAA